rnacentral:rRNA from 1 species
GACGAACGCUGGCGGCGUGCUUAACACAUGCAAGUCGAACGGAAAGGCCCUGCUUGCAGGGUACUCGAGUGGCGAACGGGUGAGUAACACGUGGGUGAUCUGCCCUGCACUUCGGGAUAAGCCUGGGAAACUGGGUCUAAUACCGGAUAGGAGCCAUUUUUAGUGUGAUGGUUGGAAAGUUUUUUCGGUGUAGGAUGAGCUCGCGGCCUAUCAGCUUGUUGGUGGGGUAAUGGCCUACCAAGGCGGCGACGGGUAGCCGGCCUGAGAGGGUGGACGGCCACAUUGGGACUGAGAUACGGCCCAGACUCCUACGGGAGGCAGCAGCGGGGAAUAUUGCACAAUGGGCGCAAGCCUGAUGCAGCGACGCCGCGUGGGGGAUGACGGCCUUCGGGUUGUAAACUCCUUUCGCUAGGGACGAAGCUUUUUGUGACGGUACCUAGAUAAGAAGCACCGGCUAACUACGUG